AGUGAACGCUGGCGGCGUGCCUAAUACAUGCAAGUCGAACGAUGAAGUCCUAGCUUGCUAGGAUGGAUUAGUGGCGCACGGGUGAGUAAUAUAUAGUUAAUCUGCCCUACACAGAGGAACAACAGUUGGAAACGACUGCUAAUACCUCAUACUCCUAUUUGACAUAAGUUAAAUAGGGAAAGUCUUUUCGGUGUAGGAUGAGACUAUAUCGUAUCAGCUAGUUGGUAAGGUAAUGGCUUACCAAGGCUAUGACGCGUAACUGGUCUGAGAGGAUGAUCAGUCACAUUGGAACUGAGACACGGUCCAAACUCCUACGGGAGGCAGCAGUAAGGAAUAUUGCGCAAUGGGGGAAACCCUGACGCAGCAACGCCGCGUGGAGGAUGACACUUUUCGGAGCGUAAACUCCUUUUAUCAGGAAAGAAUAAGGACGGUACCUGAGGAAUAAGCACCGGCUAACUCCGU
rnacentral:rRNA from 1 species